UACGUAGGCAGCAAGCGUUGUUCGGAAUUACUGGGCGUAAAGGGCUCGUAGGCGGCCAGCUAAGUCAGACGUGAAAUCCCUCGGCUUAACCGGGGAACUGCGUCUGAUACUGGAUGGCUUGAGUGUGGGAGAGGGAUGCGGAAUUCCAGGUGUAGCGGUGAAAUGCGUAGAUAUCUGGAGGAACACCGGUGGCGAAGGCGGCAUUCUGGACCAUUACUGACGCUGAGGAGCGAAAGCCAGGGGAGCAAACGGG
rnacentral:rRNA from 1 species